CGGGGCAUAGCGCAGUCCGGCUAGCGCACCUGCUUUGGGAGCAGGGGGUCGCAGGUUCGAAUCCUGCUGCCCCGA
rnacentral:tRNA from 1 species